AUGACUCUCGGCAACGGAUAUCUCGGCUCUUACAUCGAUGAAGAACGUAGCAAAAUGCGAUACUUGGUGUGAAUUGCAGAAUCCCGUGAACCAUCGAGUCUUUGAACGCAAGUUGCGCCCGAAUCCAUCCGGUCGAGGGCACGUCUGCCUGGGUGUCACG
rnacentral:rRNA from 1 species